rnacentral:rRNA from 1 species
UACGUAGGUCGCAAGCGUUGUCCGGAUUUACUGGGCGUAAAGAGCGCGCAGGCGGCUGGUCAAGUCCGAUGUGAAAUCUCCCGGCUCAACUGGGAAACUGCAUCGGAAACUGAUCGGCUUGAAGAUGGGAGAGGGUAGUGGAAUUCCCGGUGUAGCGGUGAAAUGCGUAGAGAUCGGGAGGAACAUCAGUGGCGAAGGCGGCCUUCUGGACCAGUACUGACGCUGAGGCACGAAAGCGUGGGGAGCAAACAGG